rnacentral:tRNA from 1 species
ACCUCCGUGGCCGAGUGGGUAGGUAUCACGUUUGCAACGCCGGAGGUCCCGGGUUCGAUUCCCGGCGGGGUCG